UGGGGAAUAUUGGACAAUGGGCGCAAGCCUGAUCCAGCAAUGCCGCGUGUGUGAAGAAGGCCUUCGGGUUGUAAAGCACUUUUAUCAGGAGCGAAACGCUGUCGGCUAAUACCCGGCGGAACUGACGGUACCUGAGGAAUAAGCACCGGCUAACUUCGUGCCAGCAGCCGCGGUAAUACGAAGGGUGCAAGCGUUAAUCGGAAUUACUGGGCGUAAAGCGUGCGUAGGCGGUUUCUUAAGUCUGCUGUGAAAUCCCCGGGCUCAACCUGGGAAUGGCAGUGGAUACUGGGAGGCUAGAGUGUGUCAGAGGGUGGUGGAAUUCCCGGUGUAGCGGUGAAAUGCGUAGAGAUCGGGAGGAACAUCAGUGGCGAAGGCGGCCACCUGGGACAACACUGACGCUGAGGCACGAAAGCGUGGGGAGCAAACAGGAUUAGAUACCCUGGUAGUCCACGCCCUAAACGAUGCGAACUGGAUGUUGGUCUCAACUCGGAGAUCAGUGUCGAAGUUAACGCGUUAAGUUCGCCGCCUGGGGAGUACGGUCGCAAGACUGAAACUCAAAUGAAUUGACGGGGUCAUAGCUGUUUCCUG
rnacentral:rRNA from 1 species